AGAGUUUGAUCCUGGCUCAGGAUGAACGCUGGCGGCGUGCCUAAUACAUGCAAGUCGAACGCACAGCGAAAGGUGCUUGCACCUUUCAAGUGAGUGGCGAACGGGUGAGUAACACGUGGAUAACCUACCUCAAGGUUGGGGAUAACAUUUGGAAACAGAUGCUAAUACCGAAUAAAACUUCGUAUCGCAUGAUACAAGGUUAAAAGGCGCUACGGCGUCACCUAGAGAUGGAUCCGCGGUGCAUUAGUUAGUUGGUGGGGUAAAGGCCUACCAAGACAAUGAUGCAUAGCCGAGUUGAGAGACUGAUCGGCCACAUUGGGACUGAGACACGGCCCAAACUCCUACGGGAGGCUGCAGUAGGGAAUCUUCCACAAUGGGCGAAAGCCUGAUGGAGCAACGCCGCGUGUGUGAUGAAGGCUUUCGGGUCGUAAAGCACUGUUGUAUGGGAAGAACAGCUAGAGUAGGGAAUGACUUUAGUUUGACGGUACCAUACCAGAAAGGGACGGCUAAAUACGUGCCAGCAGCCGCGGUAAUACGUAUGUCCCGAGCGUUAUCCGGAUUUAUUGGGCGUAAAGCGAGCGCAGACGGUUGAUUAAGUCUGAUGUGAAAGCCCGGAGCUCAACUCCGGAAAGGCAUUGGAAACUGGUCAACUUGAGUGCAGUAGAGGUAAGUGGAACUCCAUGUGUAGCGGUGGAAUGCGUAGAUAUAUGGAAGAACACCAGCGGCGAAGGCGGCUUACUGGACUGUAACUGACGUUGAGGCUCGAAAGUGUGGGUAGCAAACAGGAUUAGAUACCCUGGUAGUCCACACCGUAAACGAUGAACACUAGGUGUUAGGAGGUUUCCGCCUCUUAGUGCCGAAGCUAACGCAUUAAGUGUUCCGCCUGGGGAGUACGACCGCAAGGUUGAAACUCAAAGGAAUUGACGGGGACCCGCACAAGCGGUGGAGCAUGUGGUUUAA
rnacentral:rRNA from 1 species